rnacentral:rRNA from 1 species
GUAGGGAAUCUUCGGCAAUGGGGGCAACUCUGACCGAGCAACGCCGCGUGAGUGAAGAAGGUUUUCGGAUCGUAAAGCUCUGUUGUAAGAGAAGAACGUGUGUGAGAGUGGAAAGUUCACACAGUGACGGUAACUUACCAGAAAGGGACGGCUAACUACGUGCCAG